CAGCUGACACUGAUGCACACAAGUCUGAGAGCCUGAUGAGGACCUGGACUGACAUCCCAGCUCUUCUCAUCUGCCUGAUCUUCUGCAUUAUUCUCACCUCUCUCAAACUCUACAGCAGUCUCUGGACUCUGGUGAGAAAAGGACACCUCCCUGUGACCGCCUCCUCAGGCAGCCAUCAGCUCCACCCCAGGAGAAGCUUGCCUUGGUUCGUGACCUGAUCACUGUUGUCUGAGUUCAUGGAAGACUUGCUUCACACUGGAGAGGAUCAAGAGGCACACAGAGUUAGUGACAACGCCAUGAGCCACAAGAGGAUGAGGAUCAGGAUUCAAACGAGGCACAAGAAGAACCCGGGGAACUCGUGGACCCUCCUGCUCCUAUCCUAGGCAGUAUGUGCCAGAGAAGGACCCCCACACCGUGCACCAGUGGUUCCACUCAGCUACGUGAGCAGCAGAAAUGCCUCAACAGGUUCACCAUGCCAAGGACAUCUCACACCAACAAUACUUGGCACUUCUCCAAACAGGAAACAACAAAGAAUGAAUAUCAUAAAAUAAACAAAAUGCAUUAUAUAUCUUUAAAUGGAAUAUAAUACA